rnacentral:lncRNA from 1 species
GCCACACCACAUCUGACUGCAUCUUGCUCCUUCUCGGGGGAGAAAGUUCUCAGCCUCGGUUACAGAGAGUAAGGAUGGAGAGAUCGAUGGAGGGUCAGACAAGAAAGCCAAAGAACAAUUAGGAGCUCUGCAAAGCUGAGGGCUUUCUCAUUGCGGGGGAAAGUGCAUGAGAUAUGACUCGCCAACGGCGUUAGGCGCUCUGGAUGGCUAUCAAAAGACAAAUGGAAGUGGAGAUGCUCUCAUGUAGAGGCAACUGUAUUAGGAAUCCAUGGCUCAAAAGGACAGUUAAGGGGAGCAGAAUGGCCUUCCAUCCAUCUCCAUGUCAUCGCAGAAGAAGAACAAACUACAAAGCAACUUGACCCCGGCUCAGGAUGCCUCGCCACUAAAAGCCACCGAGGAUAAAUGCCGUCUGCAGAAGGCUUUCCCCUGGAAUAGUCCUGAUUUCCUCCGAGGGCUUCAUCUUCUGUUCAGUGUUCUUCACACCACAUCCAACGCCCCACAUUGUGAUUUCCCCCAUUCGAACAGAUUCUCCACUAAGUCUCUCUUUUCUGAUUGAAACUUUUCUGAUUAUAUUCUUGCCAUUUUUUAAAGAUGCAAAAAUGCUCUGCUUACAAGCAUCCUGCAGUCCCUCAAAAACAAAGACAAUCUGUAUGUAUCAAAGCUGCCUUUCCCCUCCCAAGACAAACACCAACAUCCGUUUUUCAAAAAUGGUUUAAUGGGGGACUGGACCAGUGGCAUAGCAGUUAAGUUCAUGCGCUCCACUUCUGAGGCCCCAUGUUCGGAGGUUUGGAUCCCAGGUGCAGACCCAUACACAGCUCAUCAAGCCACACUGUGGAGGGGUGUCAGCUCAGGGCCAAUCUUCCUCACCAAAAAAAAAAAAAAAAAAAAAGGUUUAAUUUCCAUUAGUUAUUGAAAAACAUUUUUCUUCUUGUAUCCCUAAAGAGUGCUUCCAGGAGGGCAUUUUUCUGUAUAACUAAACGGCUUAUGCUCCAUAUAGAAGGAAGUAAGUUGUCAUUUUUAUUUGGCAUAUUUCUCCUCUCCUACCUGAAAGUGUUAAGUUGUCAGCUCAAGGCAGCAGGGCACAUCCGGAGAAAACAUGAUAGUUAUUAGGAGACGAAGCUGACAUUUUGGUUUUCAAGGCAUUCAAUCAACUCAGCUAAGAUAUAUUUACUAACCCACAACCAGAACUGAAAAUCCUCAACAGCAAAUUCUUGCUGGGGACGGGGCGGGCAAGAUGGUAUGAACGAACGAGGAAGCGCUGUGCACACUGGCUUUGCUGGUGCUCAACAGGCCAGGGAUGCCAAGAAGAGAAGGUUCUGGAAGCGAGGGCAGCAGCAUUGUGUCGAAAUAGUGUUGGGCGCCAACAGAGACCAGAGCUUGUGGUGCAUUUACACUGUUACCGAGGAUGGAAACAAUGAGAGUUUUAUGAGGUUUGUUUACACACUCAGAAGAUACAUUUAGCUUUCCGAAGCAGAGUGGGCAAAUGUCCGACGACGCUCAGAAGAUACAUUUAGCUUUCCGAAGCAGAGUGCCAAGCAAAUGUCCCACGAUGUUCAGUUACUAUCCUCACAAAGCUUCCCUUCUCAAUGGCUCAGCCAGUUCUGGAAGUCCUCCUCCGUUUCAAGGUACCAAGAGCCAUAAAUCCAUGUUUAAUUAGCCCUGAAUGAAAUGCUGAAGAUGAUAGGAUCUUUGUGCUGAAAACGAAACUCGAAGGAGUCUGCUUGAUUUAUGUCUCACUCGGAGUUGUAAUUUAAUUAAAACGACAAACUGAAUUAAAAAAAAAAAAAUCUCUGGCAGAGUCCCUCCCACGUGGAAUUCAAAUUGGUGUCUUACGGCUGAGGAAUCCCCGUCUUCUAUUUCAUUGUCACGUUGCUUAAUACGUUUACCAUUGCCCUUCCAGCAGCUUACUUUCCUAACUGCCUUGUUUCUCAUUAAAUUGCUGAAUUUCCCAGGGACUCAAAGUUACGAAGCUAAAGUUUGCACACGAACACAUCUUUAGAUCCUCCUGGGUGACUUAUUUGACAGUUCUUUGAAGAUUAGCUCUCUUCUUUACCAAGCUUAUAUUUAUGAGGGAAAGUUAGUGCUGAGUUUAAGAAUAGGAUAUUGAGGCAAAGUCAUAAACGAAAAGAUAAAUAAAAAGAUGCAUUUUUAAAAAUUUGUCA